GAUGAAGAACGUAGCGAAAUGCGAUACGUAAUGUGAAUUGCAGAAUUCAGUGAAUCAUCGAAUCUUUGAACGCAUAUUGCGCUCUCUGGUAUUCCGGAGAGCAUGCUUGUUUGAGUAUCAGUAAACACCUCAACUUCCAUAUCUUGUUUGAAAUGGGAGUUGGACUUGAGUGAUGCCAACGCUUUUCCUCACCGAAAAGUGGCGGGUUACUUGAAAUGCAGGUGCAGCUGGACUUUUCUCUGAGCUAUAAGCAUAUCUAUUUAGUCUGCCUAAAAAACAGAUUAUUACCUUUGCUGCAGCUAACAUAAAGGAGAUUAGUUCUUGUGCUGACUGAUGCAGGAUUCACAAAGACGGCUUCGGCCGACUUUGUAAACUCGAUCUCAAAUCAAGUAAGACUACCCGCUGAACUUAAGCAUAUCAAUAAGCGGAGGA
rnacentral:misc_RNA from 1 species